rnacentral:rRNA from 1 species
GAUGAACGCUAGCGGCAGGCUUAACACAUGCAAGUCGAGGGGCAGCGAGGCCGUAGCAAUACGGCUGUCGGCGACCGGCGCACGGGUGCGUAACGCGUAUGCAACCUACCCGUAACAGGGGGAUAACACUGAGAAAUUGGUACUAAUACCCCAUAAUAUCUCGGAAGGCAUCUUCUGGGGUUGAAAACUCUGGUGGUUACGGAUGGGCAUGCGUUGUAUUAGCUAGUUGGUAAGGUAACGGCUUACCAAGGCGACGAUACAUAGGGGGACUGAGAGGUUAACCCCCCACAUUGGGACUGAGACACGGCCCAG